rnacentral:pre_miRNA from 1 species
GGUCCAAAUUCGAAGUAAGGUAGAAUUAGUAAGGUAAACUGAUCCUACUAUUCAACUGUACUUCGAAAUUGGCCCC